rnacentral:lncRNA from 1 species
AUAGUUUAAAAAUAUAUUAAAAGAUUAAAAUAGUUUUAAAUGAAACAUAUCAAAGAUAAAAACAUAUCGAAAAUUAAAUAUAACCAAAAUGUUCUUAUUUAAAGUAAAAAGAUCAAAUCCGAAUUGUAAAUGUAGUUUAACAUGUAUAUAUUGUCUUGUUGCUGCAUACCCUUGAGUGAUAUUUGCAACUUUUGAAUGCCAGAUAAAAUCUGCAACUUUUGAAUCAAUCAAAAUAGAUGAAAACCAGUGGAAAAAUGAGGGUAAUGAACGAUUGCCUAUAGCUCAAUACAAAAAUCUUAAGAUGGACUGGUGAUCAAGUUAUAAUGUCUCUGUCCAAUCAACUAUCAACAUUAUGAACGAUACCCUUAAUUUAAAUUGCAUAAAACAGAUGAAGAUAGGUAUAAAAUAUGAUCAUGCUUUCAUUAGUUUUUAAGGAGAAUUACUAUACAACCUUAGAAAAUAGAAACUCAAUUAUCUGUUGCCUUCAAAAUGUAGGGACAGACUAAUAACAAAGAAAACCAGUAGAAAGUUACAACUACAAACUUAAAUAUUAAAUAUUUGAGAUUCAUUGUGCCAAUUCGAUAUUAAAAAAAAUUUGAAACUUUGAAAUUAUAAAUGAACGAAGCAUACUAGCUCAAAUUAGAUUUAAACUAAAUAUAAUAUCAUUGACUCACUGUGGUAAGCAAUCACCAAUGAUUUGAGCACACAUAUACCAAUAAUAUAUAUUUGAAGUCAAUAUGGUAAGAUGGUCGAUCCUCAUGCAAAUGUUACCAAUACAAAUCAGCAAUGAUUAAAAAAACCAGCCCACAUUAGCUAAAGUCUCAGAGUCAGAUCAUACAAACAAUUGACUAUCAAAUGAUUAAGAUGGACUUAAGAUUCAUGCUUGUACUAAGCAAUAAUUACAAAAGCACAAAGCCUGAGUCAGAUUCAUGCUUGUGUUAACAAACUAUACCACAACAACAUAAAGACCAAAAGAACAUCCAUAAAACAAACUUACAAAUUCACAAGAUUUGUAAUAAUAUCAUGAGUCAUGGAAUUGAAAAUUCUGUAGAAUUUAAAGAAAAUCAUAUCUUCGUUAAGACUAUUGUGAGGGUUCCUACUUAGAACUAACCCAUUAACAUUUUAAAUAGAACACAAUUUUUAACAUUGGAACUGAAUACCACAGAAAGUUAGCAUCACAUAAUUAUUGCCAAAAAAAUGCAAUAAAGGGCCUUAUCCGAUCUUUAAGUCUGAAAAUGAGUACAUGCAUGGUAAACACUUUUUACUUGGUACAAUAAAUACUAAGAAAAUAAAAAAGAUGAAAUGAAUUUGCUACCUUAGCUAACAAAUUUGAAUCCAGCAAAACAAAAAGGAUGGCGAGAUUACAGACAAAAACUAAGUAGGUAUAUCAUUUUAUUGCAUUCCACUUCUAAAUCUUUCCUAGAAAGCAUAUGAAUGAAAAAGUACGCUCAUUUUCUAUCAUUCUUCCCACCAAUCCUCUAUCCUCCUAGUUUUCAAAACACUCCACCAAUAAAAUUUUAAAGUUAACCACAACAACAUAAUGUAUACUGUACAUUCCAAGAGGGCAGAAAAUGCAAAGAAAUAAAUGCUCUUACUUCUUUCAACUUAUAACAUUAUACUAACAAAAUUUGAGAAAAAGAAAGAAAGAAGAGGAAGAAAAAGUAGCAUUUAAGGUUAAGAGCACAGUUUGAAAAUUACCCUGUUCUCACCGUAUUCUUCUGAAUACUCUGAUCCAUCUCAUCUAAAAUUGUAUCAAAUAAAGCAUCAUUAAACAAAAUCCAGUAAAAAGAACCAUUACACUAAAAGCAAUCUAAUUUUGCAACAUCUAAAACUUCCAUCUAAACUCCAUAAAAAGCCUAACAUAGGGUCAUAUUUUUUGGCAGAACUAGGGACAAGCAGCAAGGUAAGAAAUAUAUCCAAUUUCUAAAGAGGACCCAAAACCCUAAUUCCCAACAUAGGCCAUUCAACAUCACAAAGGACUAAUACAUCAAAUUUCAAGAUAGCUGUUACCAAAUAUUUCCACAUAUUCUAUAGCUACAUUAAAUUAAUCAAACAUUCGAACCCAAUAUCCAAUUAAUUAAAAUCCCAAAAAACUGAAAUUAUCAAUCAAAUGUUUAAUUGAUAAGAUUAAACGAAAACCUAAUGAAACAAAAAAAAUAUAAUAUUACAUGCCUCUGGUUCAUAGGUUAUCUCGAUCGCAUUGUAAAACUCCUUAAUGGGCCGCUCCUUCAGCCUCACCACAAUAGCAGCUGCUAUUGCCGCCGAUAUCGCACAAGAAACGAUCGAAAGGCCUUUCUAGUUUCUCUCUAUUUUGUCAAAAGGAGAUCGGGUUGGUGAGGAUAGAAGCAUGAAAAAGAUGGAGAUAAGGUUGAGAGGAAAUGAGAAGAAGAAUGAGAGAGAGGAAAAUGCUUUAGAAGUUAGAAAGAAAUAAGGGUAAACAAAGGAAAAUUUUCACCCACCCAUUCGCUGAAUAGUUAUUCCUGACCCAGACCACCGAAUUGUAAACAUAACUUUUGCCUAGAAUAAUCCCGUUUGGAAUAGGAUUGUAAUAGCUCAUUACAACCAACCAAACAAUGGCUUAGUGAUGGGCUCACUG